GACGAACGCUGGCGGCGUGCCUAAUACAUGCAAGUUGAGCGAUGAAGAUUGGUGCUUGCACCAAUUUGAAGAUCAGCGAACGGGUGAGUAACGCGUGGGGAAUCUGCCUUUGAGCGGGGGACAACAUUUGGAAACGAAUGCUAAUACCGCAUAACAACUUUAAAAAUAAGUUUUAAGUUUGAAAGAUGCAAUUGCAUCACUCAAAGAUGAUCCCGCGUUGUAUUAGCUAGUUGGUGAGGUAAAGUCUCACCAAGGCGAGGAUACAUAGCCGACCUGAGAGGGGGAUCGGCAUAACUGGGACUGGGACACGGCCCAAACUCCUACGGGAGGCAGCAGUAGGGAAUCUUCGGCAGUGGAAGAAAGGCUGACCGAGCAACGCUGCGUGAGUGACGAAGGUUUUCGGAUCGUAAAACUCUGGUGGUAGAGAAGAACGUUGGUGAGAGUGGAAAGCUCAUCAAGUGACGGUAACUACACAGAAAGGGACGGCUAACUACGUG
rnacentral:rRNA from 1 species